GUUUUAAUAGUUUAAAAAAAAAUAAUGAUCUUGUAAAUCAUAGAUAGAAACUAAUCUUUAAAACU
rnacentral:tRNA from 1 species